GUACUAACAAUGUUCUUUUUACUAUAACAUGAGAAGUAUUUAUUCCAUUCUACUCUUAGUGGGAAGACCUCAUCUGGCAUUCAAACUUUAUCCAGUUUUGGAAUCACACUUUCAGAAAUUUGCACAUGAAUUGAAGACAAUCCAAAACAGAGAUCCAUGAAGAGUUAUGGAAUAUAAGAUUUAUUGGCAACGAAUUUAAACAACUGAAUUUUUUUAUGUAAGAGAAGACCGAAGUCAAAUUGAUGACGUGAUAACAUGCUUCAAAAAUGGGAAACACUACUGUUUCUUCCCUUCAUUGUUUGGAUAUUUUGGCUGCAGAAGUUUGGACGUCAGCAGCAAGUUAACAAACAACUUAGGGUAUUGACAUUCACCCCUUUACAGUCACACAGCCUGUAAAAUUGCUCAAGGAUUCUCCACUGAAUUUGGCUAUCGCUUUUCCUACUGUAACUCUAAAAGAUUUUGAAUAAGCCCAUUUGCAUUUCCGCUUACAGGCACUGUAAAUGCUGUGAUAUUAUGUAUUAUUUGCAAGAAAUGAAAAGAAAAAGCAAUUCAAAACUUUCAAAAAAACCCCAAUCUGGAAUUCAUAGUUCAUGACUACAAGGCCACAGUCAAAGUAAUGGUCAUACAGCCAUAAGAAAUAUCUUCAUAAAUUAGGUGUUUGCAGGAAUUUUACCUAAUGAAGCAGAUUUUAAUACAAAAUCCUUUAACAUUCAUUUUUUCUUUAAAUUUAAUAUCACUUUUAGAGGAUUUAUGGGACUUUUACACGCCAAACUUGUAAAUCAGGUGGAAGAAACUUGUUAUGCUUUAGGGACAAACACAAUUGCAAUGUGAUAAGAAAUAAGUUUUCCUCUGCUUUCCAUCACUGUUCCUGGAGGGUUAAAUGGCAAAGGCUGGCCUCUGGCUGUAAUGUUGCAGCUGGCAUAAGCCACGUGAAAUGCUGUGCCUACAACCAGUGCGUUGGACUGAGGGGCCAAAAGAGGCUCUUCUGGAAGAGCUUUUGGGAGGAAAACAGGAGAUGGAGUCUCCUACCACAUGCAAGCUUUCUCUGCAUGUCCUUGCUGAGCAUACCAUGGAUUCAACGGUUGACUCGGCACCCAGCCCUGAUGGAAAGAGCAAGAUGUGAGAGCACGGAACAGCUUUUGACUCAGCGAUGUGGAUGGUGGUGGAGUGUGCUGGGAAAGAUCCCAGAGUUUUCAUCAACUUUUCUCCUGAAAAAGAGUAUGAAGCAAAGAAGAAACUGAUUUUCCUUUAUGCAAAUGCAUGUACUUCUGGGUCUUGAAACCUAUCUACAACAUUAAUUACCCUCCAGUUUUCCAUCAACACCUCCCUGCAGUUGAUGGGAACCUUUCCAAUGCUGUCAGGCAGAAGCAGCACAGCUCUGUAAGCAGAAGCAGCAGUAUGGAAGCCAUCCGUGCCUCACUGGGAUACCUAGCAUCUUCCAGAGUGAAGAGGAGCUGAGGAGUGAGCCUGACUUUCAUAAGUGAAGAAAAAAAGGCAAAUAAGGUUUUAGGGGGAAUUUUCCUAAAAAAGAUUGGCUGUGACCUGUGACUGCUAUUACUUUGAACGGCUGUUUUGGAGAACCAUAAGGAAGCCUUGCUGCUCUCUUUUCUAGUAAACCCAUUUGCCCAAAGCUCUUGCACAAAAGGCUCAGAACAAACAUGACUCAUGUUGGUGAACAGUUUGUCAAAGCAGUUCUUUUGUACAAAGGGUCGCAAGGUUGAUCACAAUAGUUAGCAUAGGCAUUCAGCAACAUAAAAGAAAGUCUUGUUCCUGUUUUCUGGGAUGGCACUCGAGCAGAUGCCACACUGAACCUGGAUAGGAUACACAGUUUUUUAGGGAGAACAGUACUUGAGGCAUACAGCAGGAUGCAAUCCUAUUUGCACUUGAGACAAGAGUAAAGUUGCCAUUAUCUUCAGGCUCUUAUUCUGAAUAUGCAUGCACAAUGAGAUUUGCACUGUUAGCAGGUAUGUAUACAAAUGGGAUACGUGACAAUGAAAUUGCAGAAAAGCAAGAUUUCACUUGACUUCUGCUCCCACUAUGUGGGUUUGGAAGCUUCCCACUUUUCCUUACCAGCACUUGAAAUACUUAACUCUUAAGUUGCUACUACAUUUGUAUAGCUAAGCAAGAGGAUGAAAGAUUUCUUCCUGAAGGACAGGUGGCUACUGCUCCAAGGUAAGGCUUUACCUGCUGCAACAUGGGCUUGUGUAUGGUUUGCAUGUUACUGCAGACCAGAACUUUGUU
ensembl:lncRNA